rnacentral:miRNA from 1 species
UCUGUUCUGUCCUGCUCGGUA